rnacentral:rRNA from 1 species
CCUACGGGUGGCAGCAGUGAGGAAUAUUGGUCAAUGGGCGCAAGCCUGAACGAGCAAUGCCGCGUGAACGAGGAAGGUCUUCGGAUCGUAAAGUUCUGUUGAAGGGGAAAAAGAGCGGAGAGAGGAAAUGAACUCCGAUUGAUAUUACCCUUCGAGGAAGUCACGGCUAACUACGUGCCAGCAGCCGCGGUAAUACGUAGGUGGCGAGCGUUAUCCGGAAUGAGUGGGCGUAAAGGGUGAGUAGGCGGCCUGCUAAGUCUGGAGUGAAAGGUACCGGCUCAACCGGUAUAGGCUCUGGAAACUGGCGGGCUAGAGAGCAGGAGAGGGCGGUGGAACUCCAUGUGUAGCGGUAAAAUGCGUAGAUAUAUGGAAGAACACCAGUGGCGAAGGCGGCCGCCUGGCCUGUUACUGACGCUGAGGCACGAAAGCGUGGGGAGCAAAUAGGAUUAGAUACCCCUGUAGUC